AGAGUUUGAUCCUGGCUCAGAACGAACGCUGGCGGCGUGCCUAACACAUGCAAGUCGCACGAGAAAUCCUGGGCAACCGGGAGAGUAAAGUGGCGCACGGGUGAGUAACACGUGGGUAACCUGCCCUUGAGUUGGGGAUAACUCCGCGAAAGCGGGGCUAAUACCGGAUAAUAUGCCAUUCACUAUGGAGAAUGGCAUCAAAGAUGGCCUCUGCAUGCAAGCUAUUGCUCAAGGAUGGGCCCGCGUACCAUUAGCUUGUUGGUAGGGUAAUGGCCUACCAAGGCAACGAUGGUUAGCUGGUCUGAGAGGAUGGCCAGCCACACUGGAACUGAGACACGGUCCAGACUCCUACGGGAGGCAGCAGUGGGGAAUCUUGCGCAAUGGGGGAAACCCUGACGCAGCAACGCCGCGUGGGUGAUGAAGGCCUUCGGGUCGUAAAGCCCUGUCAGGUGGGAAGAAACAUGUCGAUGUCAAUAACGUCGGCAUUUGACGGUACCACCGGAGGAAGCACCGGCUAACUCCGUGCCAGCAGCCGCGGUAAUACGGAGGGUGCAAGCGUUGUUCGGAAUUAUUGGGCGUAAAGCGCGUGUAGGCGGUCGGGUAAGUCAGAUGUGAAAGCCUUCCGCUCAACGGAAGAAGUGCAUUUGAAACUGCUCGGCUGGAGUACGGGAGAGGAGAGUGGAAUUCCCGGUGUAGAGGUGAAAUUCGUAGAUAUCGGGAGGAACACCAGUGGCGAAGGCGGCUCUCUGGUCCGAUACUGACGCUGAGACGCGAAAGCGUGGGGAGCAAACAGGAUUAGAUACCCUGGUAGUCC
rnacentral:rRNA from 1 species